rnacentral:ncRNA from 1 species
AGUUAUGAAAAGAGUAGUAAAUAUGAAUAUUGUUAUAGAAAGUUAGUGGUUGAUGUAAACUAAUACAAUAAAAUAUUGAACUUGCUUUUUUAGAAAUAACGUAAUAUUGGCGUUAACAAUUAAAGAGCAUGAUAAGUCAUGAAUUAAGGUGGUACCGCGGAAAAAUCCGUCCUUAGU